GGGUGAGUAAUGCCUAGGAAUCUGCCUGGUAGUGGGGGACAACGUUUCGAAAGGAACGCUAAUACCGCAUACGUCCUACGGGAGAAAGCAGGGGACCUUCGGGCCUUGCGCUAUCAGAUGAGCCUAGGUCGGAUUAGCUAGUUGGUGAGGUAAUGGCUCACCAAGGCGACGAUCCGUAACUGGUCUGAGAGGAUGAUCAUCACACUGGAACUGAGACACGGUCCAG
rnacentral:rRNA from 1 species